rnacentral:rRNA from 1 species
AUUGAACGCUGGCGGCAUGCCUUACACAUGCAAGUCGAACGGCAGCACGGGAGCCAUCCUGGUGGCGAGUGGCGAACGGGUGAGUAAUGUAUCGGAACGUGCCCAGUCGUGGGGGAUAACGUAGCGAAAGCUACGCUAAUACCGCAUACGAUCUGUGGAUGAAAGCGGGGGACCGGUAGGCCUCGCGCGAUUUGAGCGGCCGAUGUCAGAUUAGGUGGCUGGUGGGGUAAAGGCCUCCCAAGCCGACGAUCUGGAGCUGGUCUGAGAGGACGACCAGCCACACUGGGACUGAGACACGGCCCAGACUCCUACGGGAGGCAGCAGUGGGGAAUUUUGGACAAUGGGCGCAAGCCUGAUCCAGCAAUGCCGCGUGCAGGAUGAAGGCCUUCGGGUUGUAAACUGCUUUUGUACGGAGCGAAAAGGCUCUCUCUAAUACAGGGGGCUCAUGACGGUACCGUAAGAAUAAGCACCGGCUAACUACGUGCCAGCAGCCGCCGUAA